GCGGAUAUAGUUCAUUGGUAGAAUGCAAGCUUCCCAAGCUUGAGAGGCGGGUUCGAUUCCCGUUAUCCGCU
rnacentral:tRNA from 1 species